AUUCCAUGUUAUGGGCAUUUCCUCUGCAUUUCCUUGUACCUCUCCCAAGUGUCAUACAAGAAUUCAAAUUCUAACUGCACAAUAGAUGAAAUAUCACUCCUCAGCUU